rnacentral:tRNA from 2 species
GCGGAUGUGGCGGAAUUGGCAGACGCGUUGGACUUAGGAUCCAAUGUCAUGGACGUGCAGGUUCAAGUCCUGUCAUCCGCACCA